rnacentral:rRNA from 1 species
AUUGAACGCUGGCGGCAUGCUUUACACAUGCAAGUCGAACGGCAGCGCGGGCUUCGGCCUGGCUGCGAGUGGCGAACGGGUGAGUAAUGCAUCGGAACGUGCCUAGUAGUGGGGGAUAGCCCGGCGAAAGCCGGAUUAAUACCGCAUACGACCUGAGGGUGAAAGCGGGGGACCGAAAGGCCUCGCGCUCUUGGAGCGGCCGAUGUCGGAUUAGCUAGUUGGUGGGGUAAAGGCUUACCAAGGCGACGAUCCGUAGCUGGUCUGAGAGGACGACCAGCCACACUGGGACUGAGACACGGCCCAGACUCCUACGGGAGGCAGCAGUGGGGAAUGUUGGACAAUGGGGGCAAACCUGAUCCAGCCAUGCCGCGUGCGGGAAGAAGGCCUUCGGGUUGUAAACCGCUUUUGUUCGGGAAGAAAUCCUCUGGGCUAAUACCCCGGGGGGAUGACGGUACCGGAAGAAUAAGCACCGGCUAACUACGUG